rnacentral:rRNA from 1 species
UAGGGAAUCUUCGGCAAUGGGGGGAACCCUGACCGAGCAACGCCGCGUGAGUGAAGAAGGUUUUCGGAUCGUAAAGCUCUGUUGUUAAGGAAGAACGAGUGUGAGAAUGGAAAGUUCAUGCUGUGACGGUACUUAACCAGAAAGGGACGGCUAACUACGUGCCAGCAGCCGCGGUAAUACGUAGGUCCCGAGCGUUGUCCGGAUUUAUUGGGCGUAAAGCGAGCGCAGGCGGUUAGAAAAGUCUGAAGUGAAAGGCAGUGGCUCAACCAUUGUAGGCUUUGGAAACUGUUUAACUUGAGUGCAGAAGGGGAGAGUGAAAUUCCAUGUGUAGCGGUGAAAUGCGUAGAUAUAUGGGAGAACACCGGUGGCGAAAGCGGCACUCUGGUCUGUAACUGACGCUGAGGCUCGAAAGCGUGGGGAGCGAACAGG